rnacentral:rRNA from 1 species
CCUACGGGAGGCAGCAGUAGGGAAUCUUCCACAAUGGGCGCAAGCCUGAUGGAGCAACGCCGCGUGUGUGAUGAAGGGUUUCGGCUCGUAAAGCACUGUUGUAAGAGAAGAAUGACAUUGAGAGUAACUGUUCAGUGUGUGACGGUAUCUUACCAGAAAGGGACGGCUAAAUACGUGCCAGCAGCCGCGGUAAUACGUAUGUCCCAAGCGUUAUCCGGAUUUAUUGGGCGUAAAGCGAGCGCAGACGGUUAUUUAAGUCU